rnacentral:lncRNA from 10 species
AGCUCUGAAAACAUAGGCAUCGGAGUGUAGCAGACUGACUCAGAGUCCUCCCAAGAUGCAGAUUCUACUGAAAUCCAAACCCAAGGGGUCUACAAAAUGGGUAAGAAAACUGAAGCCCAGAAAAUUUAUUUCCUUCACCUGGUCACACACAGAUCUCCUGGUAUAUUCAGAACUAGAACUCAGAUACUUGAUUCCCAUUCAGAAAGAACCUGGUCAGCUGGUUCGG